UACGAAGGGGGCUAGCGUUGCUCGGAAUUACUGGGCGUAAAGCGCACGUAGGCGGCUCUUUAAGUCGGGGGUGAAAUCCUGGAGCUCAACUCCAGAACUGCCUUCGAUACUGAAGAGCUUGAGUCCGGGAGAGGUGAGUGGAACUGCGAGUGUAGAGGUGAAAUUCGUAGAUAUUCGCAAGAACACCAGUGGCGAAGGCGGCUCACUGGCCCGGAACUGACGCUGAGGUGCGAAAGCGUGGGGAGCAAACAGG
rnacentral:rRNA from 1 species